GUGGGGAAUCUUCCGCAAUGGACGAAAGUCUGACGGAGCAACGCCGCGUGAGUGAAGAAGGUUUUCGGAUCGUAAAGCUCUUUCGUCAGGGACGAACGUAUUUCUUGUAAAUAAUGAGAGAUAGUGACGGUACCUGAAUAAGAAGCCACGGCUAACUACGUGCCAGCAGCCGCGGUAAUACGUAGGUGGCAAGCGUUGUCCGGAAUUAUUGGGCGUAAAGCGCGCGCAGGCGGGAUAUCAAGUCUGUCUUAAAAGUGCGAGGCUCAACCUCGUGAGGGGACAGAAACUGGUAUUCUUGAGUGUCGGAGAGGAAAGUGGAAUUCCAAGUGUAGCGGUGAAAUGCGUAGAGAUUUGGAAGAACACCAGUGGCGAAGGCGACUUUCUGGACGAUGUCUGACGCUGAGGCGCGAAAGCUAGGGGAGCGAACGGGAUUAGAAACCCGGGUAGUCC
rnacentral:rRNA from 1 species